GUGCUGGCUUUGACAACAUCUAUGCUGAAAUUACGACAAUACAGAGAAGAUUAGCAUGGCCUCUGCAUAAGGAUGACACACAAGUGCGUGAAAUGGUCCAUAUUUUA
ensembl:snRNA U6 U6 spliceosomal RNA